UGGCUCAGAGGUUAAGAGCCCUGGAUGCUUUUCCAGAGAUCCUGGGUUCAAUUCCCAG
rnacentral:tRNA from 1 species